ACCAUGUUUAACGCCAGACGUACCGCGCUGAUGCUGUGUGCAAAAACGCGAGGUUUUUUAUGUGUUGUACAAAAUACAGCAGCGUAACUAUUAAAAUGCUAACAGACAAUCAUGAAAGCAAAUGUAUUGUGACUGCGAAACUUGAGCGGCACUCCGGUCCAACAAACGUUAAGUUUACUGCAUGAUGCUUUCCAUGGAUAACUUCGAAGCAGACGAACCAAAGCCCAAUUACGAACAUAAUGACCAAGAUCAGAAAGCAGAAGUCGGCCAUGUUGCUAAAGUUGACAUGAAAACUUCCUUACGAUCUUCGUCAGAGAGUAGCGAUGACUGUGUCAUCAUUGAAAAACCAAUCCCGGUCAUCAAUCUGUGUUCUCCCGAUGAAAUGUUUCUUCGUCAACGCAGAAUAGUGAAGUGUUCACCGUCAAUCGAUAGCGAUGAUGACUGCGUCAUUAUCGAUGAACCAAUUCCAACCAUCGAUCUGUGUUCUCCGCAUGUAACGUCCAUUAUUCGUGAUGAUCCUGCCAGUAAACUGUGUUCGUCGAAUGAUUUUAACUUCCGAAACAAACGAGUGCAUCACUGGAGUUUGGAUGGUGUUCCUGAGUUGGAAAAUUGUGCCUUGUAUAACCAGGCCAUAGGUAACAGGAAAAGUGUCCCAGAGAUCAAAACGUAUGAAGAGCUCUCUAAUUAUCGUAGUUUUGCCAAGCAGCACUAGAAUGUACAUAUUAUAUUGUUGUAGAUUAAAUAAAUUAAGUGUUUCCAAAUUUCA